rnacentral:rRNA from 1 species
UGGGGAAUCUUGGACAAUGGGCGAAAGCCUGAUCCAGCCAUGCCGCGUGGAUGAUGAAGGCCCUAGGGUUGUAAAAUCCUUUCGUGGGGGACGAUAAUGACGGUACCCCAAGAAGAAGCUCCGGCUAACUUCGUGCCAGCAGCCGCGGUAAUACGAAGGGAGCUAGCGUUGUUCGGAUUUACUGGGCGUAAAGCGCGUGUAGGCGGGUCGAUAAGUUGGGGGUGAAAUCCCGAGGCUCAACCUCGGAACUGCCUUCAAAACUGCCGACCUGGACUCAAGUAGAGGCAAGUGGAAUUGCGAGUGUAGAGGUGAAAUUCGUAGAUAUUCGCAGGAACACCAGUGGCGAAGGCGACUUGCUGGACUUGUAGUGACGCUGAGACGCGAAAGCGUGGGGAGCAAACAGG